UACGUAGGGUGCGAGCGUUGUCCGGAAUUAUUGGGCGUAAAGGGGCUCGUAGGCGGUUUGUCGCGUCGGGAGUGAAAUCCACUGGCUUAACUGGUGGCUUGCUUUCGAUACGGGCAGACUGGAGGUAUGCAGGGGAGAACGGAAUUCCUGGUGUAGCGGUGAAAUGCGCAGAUAUCAGGAGGAACACCGGUGGCGAAGGCGGUUCUCUGGGCAUGUCCUGACGCUGAGGAGCGAAAGUGUGGGGAGCGAACAGG
rnacentral:rRNA from 1 species